rnacentral:rRNA from 1 species
UACGGAGGGUGCGAGCGUUGUCCGGCUUUAUUGGGUUUAAAGGGUGCGUAGGCGGCCUAUUAAGUCAGGGGUGAAAGACGGUAGCUCAACUAUCGCAGUGCCCUUGAUACUGAUGGGCUUGAAUGAACUAGAGGUAGGCGGAAUGUGACAAGUAGCGGUGAAAUGCAUAGAUAUGUCACAGAACACCGAUUGCGAAGGCAGCUUACUAUGGUUUUAUUGACGCUGAGGCACGAAAGCGUGGGGAGCAAACAGG